GGCGUCCGUUUGGCUGUGCGGGAUGUAUCAAGUUCGCAGUCACGUCCGGUCAGAAGGGGGACGUUAAAUCCGAGGCCUCGUGUAAAGAGAGUGCCACGCUCUUUGCACGUUAAGAACCCUUGCAACAACUCUUUUGAGGGGUCCGUAGGUGGCCUGUUGCAAGGCAAAAUGUCUGUCCCUAUCCAAAAUACCCUCAUUUUCCAGUGGUAGUCCAAAUUUCCCCGACCAUCAUCUCGGAUGGCCUCUAUCGUAUCGACCUACCUGUUGUAUUUAUUGUGAACUUGUUCUCGUCCUGAAUAUGCAUGAAAUAUUUGCCACUGGACGUUAAGCAACCAACAAUCAAUCAAUCGUAUAUAGUUAUAAAUUCGAAAACAAUUAGCUAGCCAUUACAUUAGUCACGCCUCCUCUGAUAUAUAACCACACCACAUCGUAUUUGUUUGUUGACAACACUUCAAAGUGUGGACAUUUGAAGAAGCGCGAUAUUUACGCAGAAGGUAAGAAAAUUAAAUGUCUUUGCUGCUUAGUUCCAAAAGAUUUAUUUAUUAAACGGA
rnacentral:lncRNA from 1 species